GUCUAGCUGACGAGUUCCAAAUAGAAUGAAACACAUGUCCUGGAU
rfam:Schistosoma mattheei strain Denwood, Zambia genome assembly, scaffold: SMTD_contig0006968